GCAAAGGUCCACUCGGGGCGCACAGGGCCCCCAGGCAACAGCACCAGGACAGGCAGCCCUGGGGCUGGGGGAGGGGGGCUUGAGUCACCUGACCCAGCAAGCCCUGACGCCCUCCUCGCCGCCUGGCCCUCCUGCGGGUGGGGUCUUAACUGGAUGUUGAUGCCUGGCACCGAGGAGCCCCAGCAGCCCGGGCGUGGUGGUGUUUCACCCCCAGGUCACUCACCUGUGCACCGCGGGAAGGCCCGUUCUGAGAGCCAUCCAGGGACGGGGUCGGGGGACAAGUCCUCCUCCCGAAGCCACACCUGUAUCCACCCAGGACAACGUCCCCGCUGUGGAAGCCGUUGUGACCUCUCCUGUGCCGCCAGCACCCACAGUGGCCUGACCAGCCUGGAGGAUGAGGACUGGGGCAUGUGUCACCCCAUUGAGGGGACAGCUUUGAGAAGAAGUGGGACUUGGGCCCCCUGCGGGGAGGCUGCAGGUCCCUGGCCCUGGCCAGUCUGAGAGCUGCCACGCCGGCAGGUGCACACGCCUGGGGCUUGCUUCCCGCAGCCCGUCACGGAGGUGGUGAAGACGUCACCUCCAACCUCAGCCCGGCUGAGGGCUGCCCUUGGGCCUUCAUGCAAAGGUCACCAGAAAGGCUGUGAACACUCAGCUCCAAGCCACAGACCAAGGCCGCUCUCGUCCACCUCCUCCUGGACGCGCAGUCCAACAAGGACGUGAUGAUGGGGGGGCCAGUGUGGGUACAGAGGGUGGUGCAUUGAGGCUGCGGCCAUGCUGCAGGGGGACGGAGUCAGGGCUAGGAGAGGGGACAGCAUGGGCAAAGGAGGUGAUGGUGCAACGUGGGCUUGGGCAGUGGUGAUUGGGGACGGAUGACCGGUCAGUUCCAACGCGUGGUUUUCUGAGCUGUAAACCAGAAGUGACGACUGUGCUACCCGAGGGGGCUGCUCGUAGCAGGUGCAGCAGGACACACAGGCAGCACAGCGGGCCCAGGCACCUGGUGUGGGAGAAUGCCCGGCCAGGUAUUUUUUCCCUGAAGAGGAGAGGGCUGUGGCUGCUCCCACCCCCACUGUCCCCCCACCCGGAGCCUCUCCCCGCCCCAGGUGCAUGGGAGGCACCUUAAGAGGUUUGUCACACGAGCAAGUGGUCAUGGUCUCUGUAGUGCCGGCUCUUUGUGGCAAGCCGCGUGGGUUUUCUGAGCUGGGAGCGACCCUGUAACUGCAGGGCUGCGGCGGAAUCCCUGGGAGGACGAGCAGCCCCUUGGUUAUCUAUCACCCCCGUGGCGAAAGGUCGUCGGGAGACUUGUUGAUUAAAAGUGCUGCGUGGGCUGGGGGCAACGCUGCCCUUCCGAGUGAUUAAUUAGCAUCCUGCCCCUCCCUGCCGUGGGAAGGAGGCACUGAAUAUUAAUGAGCCUUCAAAACCCUUCACGCCCAAGCACUGGGUUCUUGCUGCUGGACUCGCCCCUUCUCUCAGGGUCUGCGAAGCUGGGGUCCCACUGCUGCCCUAUUCACUGCCCGCAGCCACGUGCGCCGCCCCACCCCAGCCGGGAAGCAGGCAGAAUGCGCCUUUUGACAGUUUUGUUUUGCAGCUCGGUGCUUUCUGGGAGGAGGAGGACAAUGCGGGACCCCCGGGGGUGAGGGCUCAGCUUUCCCUAAUAAGAUGGCAGCAGAGAGAUGACACAGAUAGAAUGAAGGGGCCGCUUCAAAGAGAGAACCGAAAGAAAGCCACGCACAGGGAGGCCGAGUGCAGAGGCCCACAGGGCAGGCUCCCCGCGCGGCUCCCGCUGGGCAGCGAUGACCACAGCCUGGGAAAGCGCCAAUUAGAAACGCGAGCCCCAUGCCGGGGCUGCGGACCCGGCGACAGCCACGCGGGAGCAGCUGCUCCAGGCUUGCAGGAAGAUUGGGGGGGCGGGGGCGCGGGCUGCAGGAGACGGGGAGCGGGGUGGGGGACCUCAGUUCUGCUUGCUGCUCUGCCUGGAUGGGCGGGAGCAAAACCCGCUCCCUGGAGCUUUUCCCGUUUCUUGCCCCUGUGAUGGCUUUCCCUCCGCACCUGCUACUCUGAAGUGGCCACCUCCCUGCCCGACAGCUCCACGAGCGGACCUCUGGCUGCCAGGCCAGUGGUGCCCAGCACGGAGCCCGCACACCGCCGUGUCAACAGAUCACAAAGGGUGAUGGCAUCACUCACUCCUAAGUAAUCACCAGCAACCUCCGUUAUCUCUGGAAAUGAGGGUGGCGAUGGGGGGAGGGGCCAGGCCAGCGUCCAGGGCCGUCCAUCACUGCCUAACAGAUGUGUUGACGGCCGGUUGACCACACAGACCGUCCUCUUCAGCUCCAGGCGUGCUGGUCACCUUUUCUCUCCAAGCAUCGCUGAUAUGUAUGACACCCGGGCACCCACCCCACCCACACUGGCCUGAGGCCUUUGAUCUCUCCGACUCUGGCCGGGAGGCAGCAAUGGCAGCUCCACCCCACGCGCUGUGAGCACAACAUCCCCGAAUUUGUCCCAGACGGUCACCCCGUCCAUACCUGCACACGCACGCGCACGCACGUGCACACACACAGCCAUAGCGAGCAAUCAGCCUCUAUCCAACAGGUGCGUGCCCCACCUGUGACCCUGACCUGAAAGCUGAGGCUCAGAGAGGUUAAGUGACUUCCUGGGGUCACACAGCUAAAAAUCCGGCAGACUCUGGAAGACGGCGCAUGUGCCAGGGCCGACGUACUGGCAACCGUCUGCUCCUAAGUCUGGAAGUUCAUCCACGAGACCCACUCUCCAGCGGUAAGCCAGCUCUCCCUCUGGUUUGCUGCCCUGUGUCUGGCUCCCACCCGCCCAGGGACAGCAGCUGGCCGGUGCCCCGCUCUGGACCCUGACCCCCCGCAGCCCCGGCUCCAGCACAGCUCUGGGCCACCCCUCGUCUUGCCAGAUGUUCUAGUCUCUCCAGACCAUCAGGCUGGACUUCCCCAGCCACCUAGUGCUGUCCUCGGCCUGCUUAAUUAAAUCACAAUUCUCUACGGGAGGCAACGGAAUUACCCAAUUACGCCCUCCUCACCUGAUUUCUGUCAUUAACAACGUGACUUGGUGACUCGGUGUUGACCGGGCUCACCCAGGGCAGGUACCUGGCUCAGGAUGGUCAGCCCAGGACCCUGCCCUGUGCUGCCCGAGGCCCCCUCGGCUGCCAUCCAACUUGUCCGGGUGGGCACCACACCCAUCCCAGGGUCCCUGCCUCACACGGGCCCCAGGGCUCUCCGUGGCACCCCCAGUCUGCCUCUGUCAUCUGCAGGUGUGUUGUGUGCAUCCAUCCUGCAGCUCUGUGAGCUGGCAGGGGCCCGGAGCCCGGCUUCGCCCCGACCAAGGAGGGGCCUGGCUGAUUCCCCCCACCACCCCCGCCCAUCUCUGUCCUGGCCCAGCCCAGACCCCCCUCAGAGAAGGGGUCAUGCAUAUUUGUGCAAAUAGGGGAGGCCAUAGUGGGUUAAACUGCUGCCCACAGUGCUGGCAUCCCACAUGGGCACCAGUUCAAGUCCUGGCUGCUCCACUUCCAAUCCAGCUCCCUGGUGAUGGCCAGAGAAAGCAGUGGAAGAUGGCCCAAGUGCUUGGGCCCCUGCUGCCCAUGGGGGAGACCCGGAUGAAGCUCCUGGCUCCUGGUUCAGUCUGGCUCAGCCCUGGCUGUUGUAGCCAUUUGGGGAGUGAGCUAGUGGACGGAAGACCUCUCUGUCUCUCCCUCUCUCUCUGUAACUCUGCCUUUCAAAUAAACCAAUAAAUCUUAAAAAGAA